rnacentral:rRNA from 1 species
UGGCGGCGUGCCUAACACAUGCAAGUCGAACGAGAAAGUGGAGCAAUCCAUGAGUAAAGUGGCGACCGGGUGAGUAACACGUGACUAACCUGCCUUCGAGUGGGGGAUAACCUCGGGAAACCGGGGCUAAUACCGCAUAAUGCCUUCGGGUUAAAGAAGCAAUUCGCUUGAAGAGGGGGUCGCGGCUGAUUAGCUAGUUGGUGAGGUAACGGCUCACCAAGGCGAUGAUCGGUAGCCGGCCUGAGAGGGCGCACGGCCACACUGGAACUGAAACACGGUCCAGACUCCUACGGGAGGCAGCAGUGGGGAAUUUUGCGCAAUGGGGGAAACCCUGACGCAGCAACGCCGCGUGGAGGAUGAAGCCCCUUGGGACGUAAACUCCUUUCGACCGGGACGAUGAUGACGGUACCGGUGGAAGAAGCCCCGGCUAACUUCGUGCCAGCAGCCGCGGUGAUACGAGGGGGGCAAGCGUUGUUCGGAAUUAUUGGGCGUANAGGGCGCGUANGCGGUGCGGUAAGUCACCUGUGAAACCUCUGGGCUUAACUCAGAGCCUGCAGGCGAAACUGCCGUGCUC